GAAGGCGUCCCUGUCGCCAGGCGCCGAUAGACGCCGCGUCGAUGUCGGAGGUCGUCAUAUCCUGCGCAUCGCGGUCGAAGACGA
rnacentral:sRNA from 1 species